CAGCCGCCGCGGUAAUACGUAGGUGGCAAGCGUUGUCCGGAAUUAUUGGGCGUAAAGCGCGCGCAGGCGGAUCAGUUAGUCUGUCUUAAAAGUUCGGGCUCGACCCCGUGAGGGGAUGGAAACUGCUGAUCUAGAGUAUCGGAGAGGAAAGUGGAAUUCCUAGUGUAGCGGUGAAAUGCGUAGAUAUUAGGAAGAACACCAGUGGCGAAGGCGACUUUCUGGACGAAAACUGACGCUGAGGCGCGAAAGCCAGGGGAGCGAACGGGAUUAGAUACCCCCGUAGUCCCUGUCUCUUAUACAC
rnacentral:rRNA from 1 species